AGAGACAGCAGUCGCCGCGGGAAUACGAAGGGUGCAAGCGUUACUCGGAAUUACUGGGCGUAAAGCGUGCGUAGGUGGUGGUUUAAGUCCGUUGUGAAAGCCCUGGGCUCAACCUGGGAAUUGCAGUGGAUACUGGGUCACUAGAGUGUGGUAGAGGAUAGUGGAAUUUCCGGUGUAGCAGUGAAAUGCGUAGAGAUCGGAAGGAACAUCUGUGGCGAAGGCGACUAUCUGGGCCAACACUGACACUGAGGCACGAAAGCGUGGGGAGCAAACAGGAUUAGAUACCCCCGUAGUCCCUGUCUCUUAUAA
rnacentral:rRNA from 1 species